ACCUAAUGGAUUUCUGCAGCAUGACAGCGAUUCUUCCGGGCAACAGCGUGUCCGAUCGGCGUCUGCUCGUUUUCGGUUUUCUUUUUGCAAGAGCUCGCCCCCCAGGGGGAGCCAACCCUCCCAGCGGGGCCGGCGGGGCGCGGCGGCUCCGGUCUCGCUCCGGGGCGGGCGCCGCGGGGACCCUGCAGCCGGGAGAGCGCGUGGCUGCGCGGGCCCCGGAACUGCGCCGCGGAGGGGUUUCAUCUAAUAUUAAUUGUUUUAACCUCUAGUGGUUUCAGCGGUUUUAUUGGCAGGAAGAUGCAGGCGGUAGCGCACUGGGGGCUAAGGCUUCGGAUAGCGCUCACAGGGGAAACAAUGGGCUGGAAUUUGAGAAAACAAACCCAAGAUGUUAAUUAGCCGCUGAGGCACUCGGGGCACUUUGCAAAUGUUAACAUAGCCUACUUGUAAACUCCCGAGGGCUGAGACUUCGUUGUUUGUUUGUCUUCCGUGGACCUCCAAGAAAGCCAUCUAUUUUAAAGAGGAACAAGGUUGAUCCACUUAAUCUCUGCACCUGACAUGGGGCUCGAACUCAUGAUUCUGAGAUCAAGAACGGGAUGCUCUACUGAGUGGACCAGCCUGACGCCCUCCUAAAGUCACUUUCUAAACUUCAGCUUUGUUCUUCCUCACUCUGUGGCUUCCUCAUCACAUCACAGGCAAAGGACUCCUCCCCAGGAACUGAAGCUGGUUUGGAGCCCCCAUCGUGGUGUGGAAGGGAGCCAAUCAUUUCACCUGCUGCUCAAUGCAGCUUACGCAUGCAUCUUGCUAAAGGUGAUGACCCAGCAACCUGAGCUGAUGAGGUGAUGGGUCUCAGUCCACUCUAAACAAGCUUGCAUCGUUUUAGCAGCCGACUGCACUUAUCUUUUGAGCUUUGAACCAUGCCCCAGUGGACAUUAAGUUACCUGCUGUGCGAGCUUCUGAGACUGCGUUCAGAAACGGAAAGGUGGUGGUGUGAAGACCUGGCAAAUCCAGUGACGCCUCACGCCUUCUGCUGGCUCUGAGGCAAAUCUCUACCCAGGUGGUGGCAGCAAUGGCCACAGCAGUUAUAGACAUUUGUUCCAGUAUCUCUGCACUCAGACAAGGAAGGGGUACCUCUCCAGGAAAUCUAGCAGAAGUUCUGGGAGCUGCUGUCAUUGCCCAUCCUUGGCCCACUGAAGCAAUCAUGACAGUUCUGUGUGCUUUCGCCAGGCCAAGGUCAAUGCCCACACUUGGAACUGGAGAAGAUGGAGAAACUGACUUCUAGGGAAGCAAAAUUAAUGGUCCAAGAUUGGAGAGCGGGUCAGCACCAGAACACAUGCUGUCUGAGAGUUCAAGGUGAGAUCUGUGGCCGUCCUGGAGGUAUGUCACAUGGCUGUCCUGCUAGAAGAAGGGCAGUCAGCUGACAGCCUCCAGCUGCUGCACCUUUGGGACCCAACACAACGUUCACGCCAAAGCCACUCUCUCCAUGGACUGUUCAUCCUUAUGGACCCGGCUAAGGCUUCCUCAGAGCAGACGUCGGACUGCAGUUUGAGGGUACUCUCACCCGGUUUUUCCUUCCUUCUGGUCUUCCACAGGGUCGCACCCUUGUUUGUUUCUCAAAAGGCUUUUCCAGCUUAUGCCUGCUUCCCUUCCCUUUAUUCCUCAUGGAAGUGUGUCCCCCCCCCCCCCCCCCCCCCCCGGUAAAUCUCCUGUACUCCUGAAUCCAUCUUGGCAUCUGCCUCCCAGAGGACAUAAACCGGCAGACCUACAGGAUGAAAGAGGUUACCUAAGCUAAGAAGGAAGACAGAGAAAUUCAGGUAGAGUGGACAGCAUGUUUGACAAAGCAUGGACGAGUAGAGGUCUGAACACGGCAAGGAGAAACAGCAGGAUCUCCUUCCUCCCGACACUGAGGGGCUGCGGGCCUGAAAUUUGUCGGGCAGAGAUCUCAGGCAGGAGUUGAUACAACAGUCUUGAGGCAGAAUUUCUUCUUUGCCCAGGAACCUUAGUUUUGGCUCUUAAGAUCUUUCAAUGGAGUGAACGAAGCCCACCCGUAUUAUUAAGGAUAAUCUCUUUACUUCAAGUCAACCGAUUGUAGAUGUUCACCACGUCUACCUUGACAGCAACACCUAGAUCGGUGUUUAGUUAAGUAGCUGGUGCUACAGCUGAUCCAAGUUGACACAGAAAACUGACCACCGCAAAGACUGGAAACCAUGGGCAGGGUGGGGUCCUGGGACCUUGAGGUUUCCAUGAAGACCAAUGGAAGGAAGUAACAUCCUGCUCCGUGUGAAGACUCAGGGAGCCUGCUGGUUUUGGACUGGCCUUUCCAGAAGGUCUAGAGGAACUAUUUGUGAACUCAGAGAAAACUGGGCUGAGAAUGAAAACGAGCUGCAAGAGUGGCCUAUGGCUGUGAACGAACAAGGCUCCCUCUUCUUCCUCAUACCUGCAGGUGAGCCAGAGUCCAGCUUGGCCCUUCCUCUGGAUGUAGGAGGUCAAGUACGUUGGACAUGGCGGGUGCAUAAGGCCCAGUUCUGGGCCAUCCUCAGCUCCCACUGUCCUGGCCAUUUCCAUUAGGUUGUGCUCUUAUAAUUCUGCAAUCCUUAGUUCCCAGCACAGAUGGCUGUGUUUUAAUAGUGGCUUUCUAAACAGUUUAACUAUUGCCAACUCUGCUAUGAUUCAGAAAGGAAAUGGCUUUCAGGAGUGUGGAAACCAAUCAGUCUAAGCAGGAACUGCCACCUGUGGGAAAACAUAAGUGAAACUUUCCAAUAUUCUUGGCAAUAUGAAUAUGUUUAUACUUUGAAAGCACAAACUGCUGUAGAAGGAGUAGAUACUUGCCCUGUGAUUUCUCAAGUACUAAGUGUCACACAGAGCCACGAAGAGGGAAUAAAAAAGUACUACUAUUGUG